UUUGACAUACAAGUAGUAGGAAGGAAACUGGACCGACCCUUCGGGGAGCUUGUACAGGUGCUGCAUGGCUGUCGUCAGCUCGUGUCGUGAGAUGUUCGGUUAAGUCCGCUAACGAGCGCAACCCUCGCUGUGUGUUACAAGUGUCACACGGAACUGCCGGUCAUAAACCGGAGGAAGGUGGGAUGACGUCAAGUCAGCAUGGCCUUUAUAUCCUGGGCUACACACACGCUACAAUGGGAAGGGACAAUAGGUUGCGAAGCCGCGAGGCGGAGCCAAUCCAGCAAAACUUCCCUCAGUUCAGAUUGCAGGCUGCAACUCGCCUGCAUGAAGUUGGAGUUGCUAGUAAACGCAGGUCAGCCAUACUGCGUUGAAUACGUUCCCGGGGCUU
rnacentral:rRNA from 1 species